CCAAGGAGUCUAACAUGUGCGCAAGUCAUUGGGUCUUGUUUAAGCCCAAAGGCACAAUGAAAGUGAAGGCCGGCUCGGUCGGCUGCGUUGGGAUUCCGCCCUCGACGGCGGACGCACCAACGGCCCGUCCCAGUCGCUGCGUCGACGGGGCGGAGUGAGAGCGUGCACGUUGGGACCCGAAAGAUGGUGAACUAUGCCUGGGCAGGACGAAGCCAGAGGAAACUCUGGUGGAGGUCCGCAGCGAUUCUGACGUGCAAAUCGAUCGUCAGACCUGGGUAUAGGGGCGAAAGACUAAUCGAACCAUCUAGUAGCUGGUUCCCUCCGAAGUUUCCCUCAGGAUAGCUGGCGCUCGGAGGAAGCAUUCUCAUCCGGUAAAGCGAAUGAUUAGAGGCCUUGGGGCCGAAACGACCUCAACCUAUUCUCAAACUUUAAAUGGGUGAGAAGUCCGGCUUGUCUCGACUGAAGCCCGGACGUGA
rnacentral:rRNA from 1 species